GCGCAUGCGCUACUGUUGUGUACUGUACACUUCACCGGGUACGACAAUGGAGUUGAAUGUUCAUAGAUAUGAAUGGAUUGGGAUUGACAAACGCCGAUUCAUUUAAAACAGUUAUGAAAUAACGUCCUCGAACUACGUGGGGAGUCUCGGCGAUCGCUCAUAUACGGAUUUUUCCCCUCAAAUUCUAGUAGUAGCAGCAUUCAGUCACAGUGCUUGAGGAUUUGUUGAGCUCCCCUCCUUUUCUAUUGCUGCAGCUGGACCUUGUGCAAUGGUGCUAUGCGUCUCUUCAUUUUUUUCUGGCGCUUUUGCUUUUGCUUUUAACAGAGUCUGAACCCGAGCUUUGCCAUAUAUACACCACCAGAUAACUGAUUAACAAAAUGUCUGAGGUCAGCAUCGGGAGGCGCAAGGAAAAGUGUGAAAACUGCACCAAGCAGUGUAGCAAGAAACAGAGUGAUGGUGAAAUUAGCUCACACCAAGAGGGAGAGCAAGUCAACGGACAGGAGAAUGAGGGAUCACAGUUGUUGCUGAGUGCUUGUCUAUCCUGCGAUGGCUGUCUGUCUGAGGAGGAGAGCCUGAAAAUAUCUCAACAGAACUUGGAGGAGAUGGAGCGGGUUUUGGCUCUUAACAAGAAGUGUGACGUGACAAAGCACAGGGUUCUGGUGGCAUCAGUUUGUCCACAAUCGCUGCCGUUUUUCGCCAUCAAGUUUGGCGUGGAUAUCGUUGAGGCCGCCGGUAAACUUUGCGGUUUUCUCAAAAGCCUGGGAGUGCAGUUUGUGUUUGAUACUACUCUGGCAGCAGGCUUUAGCAUCAUAGAGAGUCAAAAGGAGUUUAUUCAGAGGUAUCGCAGGAAGCACCACGACUCCCACGCACUGCCCAUGUUCACCUCCUCCUGCCCUGGAUGGAUUCGCUAUUCGGAGCGUAUCCUCGGGAGUUUGGUCACACCUCACAUCUGCACAGCAAGGUCUCCGCAGCAAAUUAUGGGCUGUCUCGUCAAAGACUACUUCUCUAAGCAGCAGAAGCUAAAUGCGGAUAAAGUGUACCAUAUGGUGGUGGCUCCCUGCUUUGACAAAAAACUGGAGGCUGUCCGAGAAGAGUUUUACAACAGUCUGCUGGAGAGCAGGGAUGUGGACUGUGUCCUCACCUCAGGGGAAAUUUACUACCUGAUGCAACAGAAGAAGGUGUCUGCAGAGGAUAUGGACUCUUUUCCGUUGGACCAUGUCCUUGGAGAAGCUGGAGACACGGCCCUGGUUCGCCACGAAGGGCGCGGUUCCGACGGUUUCCUCGAACAUGUGUUCAAGUAUGCUGCCAAGGAGCUAUUUGGCCUGGAUGUCCACGAGAUCACGUACAAGACCCUCAGGAACCGUGACUUUCAGGAGGUGACACUAGAGCGAGACGGCGAAACGCUGCUGCAGUUUGCGGCCGUUUACGGUUUCAGGAACAUCCAGACUUUGGUGCACCGCAUGAGGAAGGGAAGAGUGCCUUACCAACUGGUGGAGGUGCUGUCCUGUCCAGGAGGGUGCUUGAGUGGCCGUGGUCAAGCCGAGAACGAGACAGCGGGCCGCGUCGAUAAACAACUGCUCCAGCAGAUGGAGGAGGUCUACAGCAGCCUGCCUGUCGCUCUCCCGGAGGUCAACCCGACUCUGCAGACGCUUUAUCAAGACUGGCUUCAGGGCCAGGAUUCCCAGCCGACCUGCAAGUUACUACACACCCAGUACAAGAAUCAGAGUCAGAGCCCUUUACAAACACCACACAUGCAGUGGUGAGAAUGAGGGAACAUGAAAACAUGUUUGGGACCCAGUUCUUGUUUGGAUAAAUUAAGGACCAUCCAAUACCUUUGAGCAAGUCAGAUGCAGUUCUUCCCCAUUGUCCGCUGGAGGGCGAAUGUAUAGGCUUUGGAAACAAGGGACAAGUUCAAAACAAAAAGACUUUAGUCCACAUAAGCAUCUGGAAAGUGAGGUAGCGAAUGUGGUCUAAUUGUUGCCAAACGAUAAGACAACUAAAACAACAUUAAGCACGAUGGAAACCAAUGAGCUGUUGUUGUGGAUACUGAUGGCACACCAAAACUUUUUAACCAACUCAGUCCAAAAUGACGCUUACAUGCAUAUUUGUUGUCUUUGCAGAAAACAUACAACAGCAGUGUUAGAAGGAUAACUAUGCAACAGUUUGAUGACCCCAUUAAGCCAGUAUACUAUAUGUAUCUUUUUUGAGCACUUAAAAAAAAAUCACAUAGGUAAGCGUUUUUGUCAUUUUCAAUUAAUUAUCAACUCUCCACUGGCAUUCCCUAAAUGUAGUUUGGUUAAACCCCGAGUUAGUCGUACCUUUGCCAAAUUAUUUGUUAGUGUUGUUUUUCUCUUUUUUAAUGCGAUGAAUGUGUAUAUUUUAUCUGGAAAUCAUUCAAGAAAAUGAAAGAAUUUGUAGCAUAUGCGCAGAGGAGUUGAAAGACAGGAGAUGUGUGCGAUACGCAUUUCCUUUGUAAACCUCAUACCUCCAUUUAAGCGUUCGUGUGAAAGUCGAGUCGGUUUGUCUUUCUGGUUGCUUGGUUCAAGUCGACACGCAGCCUUCGUGGCAAAGAUGAAAGCUCAAUGGUGGAGCUUUGUGCUUGGAUUGCUCUGUCUUCCCUCUGAGGUGAACACCUGGUCAGUUUUACAGGAUCCUUCACACACAUCAAUCGCAAGUCUCGACUCCUCUGAGAUAACAUGUUCCACCACGUUAUCCGAUCCAGUGGGAGUGUAUCUCAACAGACCUUUCCACGGCCAAAGAAAUGUGCUGUACCUGUCCUUGCACAAAGGUUCUUUAAUCAAGAACACCACAGCUGCGGAAUUCAAGGGUCGAAUUCAUAUAACCCCGUUCAGCCACAUGAUAAAAGGCCUUGGCUUCACAAUCAAGAUUUAUCCACUGCAGCUAGAAGACACUGGCUUGUACUACUGCAAAUGGGUCUUCUUCAGAUUGGAUGAUUUCACAGAGCAAAACCUUGUCAGCAAUGAGACCCUUCUCAUUUUCAGAGAUGCCAAACAAUGCAGCUAUGUUUUGGAUACCAUCUUGAUUGUUUUAACUGUAGCAGUAUUAACUGUCACAGUGGGAGCAGGAGCAGUGAUGAUGAGACGCAGAUACAAAUUUAAAAAGCACUUGAGACUGAGCAGAAGUUCAAGAGUAACUGCAACUAACAGGAUACAUCAUCAACUGCAACACAGGCGGCAAAAUUAUCCAUACAUUGAAAAUGCUGUAGACAUCAGAUACAUAAAUUAUUUUGGAAGCCCGGGCACUUGAGGUUACCAGUAGGUCAUUCUGCAUCUUGCACAAAGAAACAUGCUCUGCAAAUGUGUCAACACAUUUCUUUGACUUCCUUCUGUUUUGCAGUCCUGAGCAUGUUUAAGCGACCACAUCCUGACUGAUACGUGUGAUACAUGUGAUAUUUUAACAUGUGAUUUACCAGGGCAAGUAUUCUUUUCUUAUUCUACUCAAACAAGUGUAACAGCAGACCACGUUUAAUAAAAAAAUGUUGAAAUCUUGCUGGUGAACCCCAAAUUUAUUGGAAGAUAUUUAUAAAUUAAACUAGAAAAGAAAGAAGCAUCCUGACAUACAUAUCACAAUGAUUAUUUAAUCAUGAACGUGUGUUAUCAAUGUUAAAAGGUUGUGUAUCUGACAGUACAGCACACACACACACACACAUAUAUAUAUAUAUAUCUAUAUAUAUAUAUAUAUAUAUAGAGAGAGAGAGAGAGAGAGAGAGAGAGAGAGAGAGAGAGAGAGAGAGAGAUACCUGCAUAUAACAAAAAUAUACAAUUUCCCAAAUUAAUUUUAUGUAUGCAUUAAUCUAAAAUUUUAUUUCACGCUUAAAAUGAGCAGUAUAAUCAUUCAAAAGAAAACGAAAGAUAGACAAAAGAAAAAGAUGAGUACGAUUUAGAAAUCGUAAUUUAAUUAAUCAACAUUCUACCGUAAACAUUUUGCAUUUAAAUAAAUAUUUACAAUUUGAAAUGAGUUUUUUUAUGUAUUACAUCGUAUUUAUUAUGUUGUAGAAUCAACGUACACGCAGGCCCGCUAACUCCAGAAGAGUUUAAAAUCUUUUUCCUCAAAUGUUUUUGUUUUCAUUGUAAUUUGUAAUUUUCUUUAUACUGUAUUUCAUUAAAAUCAUCCUUGGGGGGAACAUUUGCCCUUGUAUUUAUUUUUCUGUCGGACUGCUUUUAGUGGUACACCGUCAGACCGAUGAAAUAACGAGAUGCUGCUUUCAUAAUGCGACCAAGUUAAUAAAUGUUUCAUUAAAACGUUG